rnacentral:misc_RNA from 1 species
AGAGGAAGUAAAAGUCGUAACAAGGUUUCCGUAGGUGAACCUGCGGAAGGAUCAUUAGUGAUGUAAAAAAAAAAACCAUAAGCUGUCAAAUGAGCGAAUGGUGAGAGGACGAUGACCUAACCCGCUUGCGGGAGAGGCAUUGAAGCUGUAUUUGUGUAGUUAAAAAUACGUAUCGCGGUCUCACUCGAGUCGGAGUUAGCCGCGUGUCGCCGACAACUAGUUUGUUGGUUUGACAGCAUUUUUCUCAAUGUUAUGCUAUGGAGAAUCAAUGAAUCUAUCAAUAGCAAGACUCAAUAUGGGGGAUCACUUAGUCCUUGAAGCGAUGAAAGACAUAGCAAUUUGUGGAAAAUGAUGUGAGUUGUGAAAUUUUGUGAGCAUUGUGUUUUUGAAUGAAAAUUUCAGCAGGGAUGCAUUUGUAUCUAUGCUACAUUUGUUUCAGUAUAUAUAAAAUGUUCAAUACGUACUUGCUGUUGCUGGGAGGCAAUGGUAUAAGAUCUAUUGAAUCACAAGAGUGACGUUAGUCAGUUGAUGUAGUGUGUAUCUGAAAUCAAGUGUGAUGACCCCCUGAAUUUAAGCAUAU